CUUGGGGAGUACGGUCGCAAGACUGAAACUCAAAGGAAUUGACGGGGACCCGCACAAGCAGCGGAGCAUGUGGUUUAAUUCGAAGCAACGCGAAGAACCUUACCAAAUCUUGACAUCCUUUUGACCAUCAUUUAAUCAUGAUCUCUCUUCGGAGCAGAAGUGACAGGUGGUGCAUGGUUGUCGUCAGCUCGUGUCGUGAGAUGUUGGGUUAAGUCCCGCAACGAGCGCAACCCUUGUCUUUAGUUGUCAUCAGGUAAUGCUGGACCCUCUAAAGAGACUGCCGGUGAUAAACCGGAGGAAGGUGGGGAUGACGUCAAAUCAUCAUGCCCCUUAUGAUUUGGGCUACACACGUGCUACAAUGGUCGGUACAACAGGCAGCGAAAGGGUAACCUGGAGCGAAUCCUCUAAAGCCGAUCUCAGUUCGGAUUGUGGGCUGCAACUCGCCCACAUGAAGUUGGAGUUGCUAGUAAUCGUGAAUCAGAAUGUCGCGGUGAAUGCAUUCCCGGGUCUUGUACACACCGCCCGUCACACCAUGGAAGUUGGGGGCGCCCGAAGCCAGUGAUCCAACCGCAAGGAGGAAGCUUUCGAGGGGUGAAACCAAUGACUAGGGUGAAGUCGUAACAAGGUAACCG
rnacentral:rRNA from 1 species